ensembl:snoRNA SNORA70 Small nucleolar RNA SNORA70
UUGCAGCCAAUUCAGCCGACUGUGCUCUUUUCCCCAUGGGCGCCCAGUGUGCAGUAGCUGCAAACAGCCUCCUCGGUAGUGUGUGCAGCCUGUUGCCUGUACAGGUUACCCUAAGGUACCUUGAAGACAGCC